rfam:Marinobacter salinus strain Hb8 chromosome, complete genome.
GGGUCUGUAGCUCAGGUGGUUAGAGCGCACCCCUGAUAAGGGUGAGGUCGGUGGUUCAAGUCCACCCAGACCCA